rnacentral:rRNA from 1 species
GUUAUAUGGUCAAGUGAAGAAGCGCAUACGGUGGAUGCCUUGGCAGUCAGAGGCGAUGAAAGACGUGGUAGCCUGCGAAAAGCUUCGGGGAGUCGGCAAACAGACUGUGAUCCGGAGAUGUCUGAAUGGGGGAACCCAGCCAUCACAAGAUGGUUAUCUUGUACUGAAUACAUAGGUGCAAGAGGCGAACCAGGGGAACUGAAACAUCUAAGUACCCUGAGGAAAAGAAAUCAACCGAGAUUCCCUUAGUAGUGGCGAGCGAACGGGGACCAGCCCUUAAGUUGUAUUGAGAUUAGCGGAACACUCUGGAAAGGGUGGCCAUAGUGGGUGAUAGCCCUGUACGCGAAAAUCCCUUUGCAAUGAAAUCGAGUAGGACGGGGCACGAGAAACCUUGUCUGAAUAUGGGGGGACCAUCCUCCAAGGCUAAAUACUACUGACUGACCGAUAGUGAACCAGUACCGUGAGGGAAAGGCGAAAAGAACCGCGGAGAGCGGAGUGAAAUAGAUCCUGAAACCGUAUGCGUACAAGCAGUGGGAGCCCACUUUGUUGGGUGACUGCGUACCUUUUGUAUAAUGGGUCAGCGACUUAUUUUCAGUGGCGAGCUUAACCGAAUAGGGGAGGCGUAGCGAAAGCGAGUCUUAAUAGGGCGUCUAGUCGCUGGGAAUAGACCCGAAACCGGGCGAUCUAUCCAUGGGCAGGUUGAAGGUUGGGUAACACUAACUGGAGGACCGAACCGACUACCGUUGAAAAGUUAGCGGAUGACCUGUGGAUCGGAGUGAAAGGCUAAUCAAGCUCGGAGAUAGCUGGUUCUCCUCGAAAGCUAUUUAGGUAGCGCCUCAUGUAUCACUGUAGGGGGUAGAGCACUGUUUCGGCUAGGGGGUCAUCCCGACUUACCAAACCGAUGCAAACUCCGAAUACCUACAAGUGCCGAGCAUGGGAGACACACGGCGGGUGCUAACGUCCGUCGUGAAAAGGGAAACAACCCAGACCGUCAGCUAAGGUCCCAAAGUCAUGGUUAAGUGGGAAACGAUGUGGGAAGGCUUAGACAGCUAGGAGGUUGGCUUAGAAGCAGCCACCCUUUAAAGAAAGCGUAAUAGCUCACUAGUCGAGUCGGCCUGCGCGGAAGAUGUAACGGGGCUCAAACCAUGCACCGAAGCUACGGGUAUCAUCUUUUGAUGAUGCGGUAGAGGAGCGUUCUGUAAGCCUGUGAAGGUGAGUUGAGAAGCUUGCUGGAGGUAUCAGAAGUGCGAAUGCUGACAUGAGUAACGAUAAUGGGUGUGAAAAACACCCACGCCGAAAGACCAAGGUUUCCUGCGCAACGUUAAUCGACGCAGGGUUAGUCGGUCCCUAAGGCGAGGCUGAAAAGCGUAGUCGAUGGAAAACAGGUUAAUAUUCCUGUACUUCUGGUUAUUGCGAUGGAGGGACGGAGAAGGCUAGGCCAGCCUGGCGUUGGUUGUCCAGGUUUAAGGUGGUAGGCUGAGAUCUUAGGUAAAUCCGGGAUCUUAAGGCCGAGAGCUGAUGACGAGUGUUCUUUUAGAACACGAAGUGGUUGAUGCCAUGCUUCCAAGAAAAGCUUCUAAGCUUCAGGUAACCAGGAACCGUACCCCAAACCGACACAGGUGGUUGGGUAGAGAAUACCAAGGCGCUUGAGAGAACUCGGGUGAAGGAACUAGGCAAAAUGGCACCGUAACUUCGGGAGAAGGUGCGCCGGUGGAGGUGAAGCAUUUACUGCGUAAGCCCCUGCCGGUCGAAGAUACCAGGCCGCUGCGACUGUUUAUUAAAAACACAGCACUCUGCAAACACGAAAGUGGACGUAUAGGGUGUGACGCCUGCCCGGUGCCGGAAGGUUAAUUGAUGGGGUUAGCGCAAGCGAAGCUCUUGAUCGAAGCCCCGGUAAACGGCGGCCGUAACUAUAACGGUCCUAAGGUAGCGAAAUUCCUUGUCGGGUAAGUUCCGACCUGCACGAAUGGCGUAACGAUGGCGGCGCUGUCUCCACCCGAGACUCAGUGAAAUUGAAAUCGCUGUGAAGAUGCAGUGUAUCCGCGGCUAGACGGAAAGACCCCGUGAACCUUUACUAUAGCUUUGCACUGGACUUUGAAUUUGCUUGUGUAGGAUAGGUGGGAGGCUUUGAAGCGUGGACGCCAGUCUGCGUGGAGCCAACCUUGAAAUACCACCCUGGCAACUUUGAGGUUCUAACUCAGGUCCGUUAUCCGGAUCGAGGACAGUGUAUGGUGGGUAGUUUGACUGGGGCGGUCUCCUCCUAAAGAGUAACGGAGGAGUACGAAGGUGCGCUCAGACCGGUCGGAAAUCGGUCGUAGAGUAUAAAGGCAAAAGCGCGCUUGACUGCGAGACAGACACGUCGAGCAGGUACGAAAGUAGGUCUUAGUGAUCCGGUGGUUCUGUAUGGAAGGGCCAUCGCUCAACGGAUAAAAGGUACUCCGGGGAUAACAGGCUGAUACCGCCCAAGAGUUCAUAUCGACGGCGGUGUUUGGCACCUCGAUGUCGGCUCAUCACAUCCUGGGGCUGAAGCCGGUCCCAAGGGUAUGGCUGUUCGCCAUUUAAAGUGGUACGCGAGCUGGGUUUAGAACGUCGUGAGACAGUUCGGUCCCUAUCUGCCGUGGACGUUUGAGAUUUGAGAGGGGCUGCUCCUAGUACGAGAGGACCGGAGUGGACGAACCUCUGGUGUUCCGGUUGUCACGCCAGUGGCAUUGCCGGGUAGCUAUGUUCGGAAAAGAUAACCGCUGAAAGCAUCUAAGCGGGAAACUUGCCUCAAGAUGAGAUCUCACUGGAACCUUGAGUUCCCUGAAGGGCCGUCGAAGACUACGACGUUGAUAGGUUGGGUGUGUAAGCGCUGUGAGGCGUUGAGCUAACCAAUACUAAUUGCCCGUGAGGCUUGACCAUAUAACACCCAAGCAAUU